rnacentral:lncRNA from 1 species
ACUGAAGAUGGGAAGGGUGAGAAGUAAGAGGAAUAAUCUCGAAAAUCAAAACACAUCAUUUGUAUUGAUUUUUUUGACAGCUCAAACGGAAUGGUGUCUCUUGAAAACCAAGAGAGCAAAUGGGCACAGAAAAGUAAGCUGCUUGCUGAGGAUAACACACAUGGAUCACCAAAUGCAGAAGAUCAGCAUGGACAGGCAGAUUCCAAAGAGGCAGGGAGGGUUACUUGGGAACAUCAUUGCUCUGGCCAGCUUGGGUGGAAUCAGGUGCAUGCUCCAUCUGUUUCUCCCUCUUUGCCUCUACAUGUUUACCUAAGAAAAGAGCCAUUUGAUACAAUACAGCACAACUUCUGGCACUGCACACACAGAGCUUCCUUUGAAAUCACAAGACUUUGCUUAAGAUCUGCUUCCUCUGAUUUCAAAAACAACUUAUGUGCACCCGAGGACAAUAUAUGAAUCACAAAAGCUGAUAGAAUUGAUACAACAAGAAAAUGGCAUGCUCAAUUAAGCAUCCACUAAAAUGAAUAGGGCCAUAGAUGUCUAUGAAUGUGCUACCCUUAAAUGUGAAGUAAAUCACACCCUUCAAUAUUGUCUUCUUUUUACACCAUAACAUCAGGUUUUUCUAACAUCACUCUACAGAGUCAUUUUGAAACAAAAUAUGUCUUUUUUUCUUCAGUCUUUCGAAGUUUAAGUAUUUAGACAAUGGACAAUCAUCUUCCCCAGCAUUCACUUCUAUCAUAGCAGAUAUGCUACAAAAUAGAAACACUUUAUACUACAUUUAUUAAACGUAGAAGGCAAUUUCCCAGAAUAUAAAUGAACAUUAUUACAUAUUUUGCUAGUCUUAUAAUAGUUGAACACCAAUGAGUUGUGGAUACAACAAAUAUCCAAAACCGGCUACUGAAAAAAAACUAAAAUUAAGUUCUUAACAGAUAAUAUCUAAUGCUAUACACUCCUACUCUUUAUGUUACAAACAGUAUGUAAUUUAUAUUUAUGCAGAAGAAACCAGUACUUAAAACUCUUACAUUUAUCAAAAAAAUAAAAUAAAAAAUUACAGAUAGCA